UAAGCACGUGAUAAUGUGUAUCAGUGUUAUUCUUUGUUUAUUACAUUCUCCCGAAAGUAUUCCCUGCUGAAUUAAGUUGAUAGAAUGGGCAGUUGUGUUUCAUUUUUUAUGUUGAAAAUCACAACAAUCAGUUUCCCUACAUUU